rnacentral:rRNA from 1 species
GACGAACGCUGGCGGCGUGCUUAACACAUGCAAGUCGAACGCUGAAGCUUGGUGCUUGCCCUGGGUGGCUGAGUGGCGAACGGGUGAGUAAUACGUGAGUAACCUGCCCUUGACUCUGGGAUAAGCCUGGGAAACUGGGUCUAAUACUGGAUACGACAUGCCACUGCAUGGUGGUGUGUGGAAAGGGUUUUACUGGUUUUGGAUGGGCUCACGGCCUAUCAGCUUGUUGGUGGGGUAAUGGCCUACCAAGGCGACGACGGGUAGCCGGCCUGAGAGGGUGACCGGCCACACUGGGACUGAGACACGGCCCAGACUCCUACGGGAGGCAGCAGUGGGGAAUAUUGCACAAUGGGCGGAAGCCUGAUGCAGCGACGCCGCGUGAGGGAUGACGGCCUUCGGGUUGUAAACCUCUUUCAGCACGGAAGAAGCGAGAGUGACGGUACGUGCAGAAGAAGCGCCGGCUAACUACGUG